AACGAACGCUGGCGGCAUGCCUAACACAUGCAAGUCGAACGAGACCUUCGGGUCUAGUGGCGCACGGGUGCGUAACGCGUGGGAACCUGCCUUUAGGUUCGGAAUAACUCAGAGAAAUUUGAGCUAAUACCGGAUAAUGUCUUCGGACCAAAGAUUUAUCGCCUUUAGAUGGGCCCGCGUAAGAUUAGCUAGUUGGUGGGGUAAAGGCCUACCAAGGCGACGAUCUUUAGCUGGUCUGAGAGGAUGAUCAGCCACACUGGGACUGAGACACGGCCCAGACUCCUACGGAGGCAGCAGUGGGGAAUAUUGGACAAUGGGCGAAAGCCUGAUCCAGCAAUGCCGCGUGAGUGAUGAAGGCCUAGGGUUGUAAAGCUCUUUUACCCGAGAUGAUAAUGACAGUAUCGGGAGAAUAAGCUCCGGCUAACUCCGUGCCAGCAG
rnacentral:rRNA from 1 species